CUAGUUGGUGAGGUAAGAGCCCACCAAGGCAGAGAUCGGUAGCCGGCCUGAGAGGGCACACGGCCACACUGGCACUGAAACACGGGCCAGACUCCUACGGGAGGCAGCAGUGGGGAAUCUUGCACAAUGGGGGCAACCCUGAUGCAGCGACGCCGCGUGAGCGAUGAAGCCCUUCGGGGUGUAAAGCUCUUUCGGCAGGGAAGAUUAUGACGGUACCUGCAGAAGCAGCUGCGGCUAACUACGUGCCAGCAGCCGCGGUAAUACGUAGGCAGCGAGCGUUGUUCGGAGUUACUGGGCGUAAAGGGUGUGUAGGCGGUUCCUUAAGUUUGGUGUGAAAUCUCCCGGCUUAACCGGGAGGGUGCGCCGAAUACUGAGGGACUAGAGUGCGGGAGAGGAAAGUGGAAUUCCUGGUGUAGCGGUGAAAUGCGUAGAUAUCAGGAGGAACACCGGUGGUGUAGACGGCUUUCUGGACCGUAACUGACGCUGAGACACGAAAGCGUGGGUAGCAAACAGGAUUAGAUACCCUGGUAGUCCACGCCCUAAACGAUGCAUAUUUGGUGUGGGUCAUUCAUUUGAUCCGUGCCGGAGCUAACGCGUUAAAUAUGCCGCCUGGGGAGUACAGUCGCAAGGCUGAAACUCAAAGGAAUUGACG
rnacentral:rRNA from 1 species